GAGCUGAGCCAGCCGGACGAUGACCAGUACUGUCUUCGGAUCUGCCGGGUGGGCCGCCGGGAUGUGGGGACCCUCACUUGCACUGCCCACAACCGCCAUGGCACACAGUCCUGCUCGGUCACACUGGAGCUGGCAGAGGCCCCUCGGUUUGAGUCCAUCAUGGAGGAUGUUGAGGUGGGAGCUGGAGAAACCGCUCGCUUCGCCGUGGUGGUUGAGGGGAAACCACUGCCGGACAUCAUGUGGUACAAGGACGAGAUGCUGCUGACCGAGAGCAACCACGUGAGCUUCGUGUACGAGGAGAAUGAGUGCUCCCUGGUGGUGCUCAGCGCG
rnacentral:lncRNA from 1 species